rnacentral:rRNA from 1 species
UACGGGGGGGGCAAGCGUUGUUCGGAAUUACUGGGCGUAAAGGGCUCGUAGGCGGCCAACUAAGUCGGAUGUGAAAUCCCCAGGCUCAACCUGGGAACUGCAUCCGAUACUGGAUGGCUUGAAUUCGGGAGAGGGAUGCAGAAUUCCAGGUGUAGCGGUGAAAUGCGUAGAUAUCUGGAGGAAUACCGGUGGCGAAGGCGGCAUCCUGGACCAAUACUGACACUGAGGAGCGAAAGCCAGGGGAGCAAACGGG